CCUACGGGAGGCAGCAGUGGGGAAUAUUGCGCAAUGGGCGAAAGCCUGACGCAGCGACGCCGCGUGAGGGAUGAAGGUCUUCGGAUCGUAAACCUCUGUCAGCAGGGAAGCACGGUCACUGUGCUAAUCAGCAGUGAAUUGACGGUACCUGCAAAGGAAGCACCGGCUAACUCCGUGCCAGCAGCCGCGGUAAUACGGAGGGUGCGAGCGUUAAUCGGAAUUACUGGGCGUAAAGCGCUCGGGGGCGGUAUGUCAAGUCAAGGGGGAAAUCCCCGCGCUCAACGUGGGAACUGCCUUUGAAACUGGCAAACUGGAGUGUGUGAGAGGAUAGUGGAAUUCCAGGUGUAGGAGUGAAAUCCGUAGAUAUCAGGAGGAACAUCAGUGGUGAAGGCGACUAUCUGGCACAUAACUGACGCUGAGGAGCGAAAGCGUGGGUAGCAAACAGGAUUAGAUACCCUGGUAGUC
rnacentral:rRNA from 1 species